rnacentral:rRNA from 1 species
AUGGCCAUCCACAAGGCUUUGCUUCUUGCCAUCCUCGGUUGCAUCUGCCUCUGUGGUACAGUCAUUGCAGCUCGUGAGCUGAAUGAUGACUUGUUGAUGGUGGUGAAGCAUGAGAACUGGAUGGCUCAGUAUGGCCGUGUGUACAAGGACACCACUGAGAAGGCACGUCGGUUCGAGGUUUUCAAAGGCAACGUCGAGUUCAUUGAAACAUUCAAUGCCCAAAAUCACAAGUUCUGGCUUGGCGUCAACCAAUUUGCUGAUGUCACAAAUGAUGAGUUCAAGACAACCAACACAAACAAGGGAUUCAAAGCAAACUCCAUGAGAGUUCUUUCUUCUGGAUUCAGGUAUGAGAAUUUGAGUUUGGAUGCCCUUCCAGCAACGAUGGACUGGAGGGCCAAGGGAGCCGUCACUCCUGUCAAGGAUCAAGGCCAGUGUGGCUGCUGUUGGGCAUUUUCUGCUGUUGCCGCGACAGAGGGCAUUGUAAAACUGAAAACCGGGAAGUUGAUCUCACUGUCGGAGCAGGAGUUGGUUGACUGUGAUGUUCAUGGUCAAGAUCAAGGCUGCGAGGGAGGACUCAUGGAUGAUGCCUUCAAAUUCAUUAUCAAGAAUGGAGGCCUUACUAUGGAGUCAAGCUACCCAUAUACUGCAGCUGACGGCAAGUGCAAGGCUGGAUCCAACAGUGCCGCAACCAUCACCGGCUUUGAGGAUGUGCCUGCCAAUAACGAG